rnacentral:rRNA from 1 species
GCUUAACGUUGUCCUGCUAGAGAAACUAUUAGACUAGAGUGAGAUAGAGGCAAGUGGAAUUCCAUGUGUAGCGGUAAAAUGUGUAAAUAUAUGGAGGAACACCAGAGGCGUAGGCGGCUUGCUGGGUCUUUACUGACGCUGAGGCACGAAAGCGUGGGGAGCAAACAGGAUUAGAUACCCUGGUAGUCCACGCCGUAAACGAUGAGUACUAAGUGUCGGGAUUACUCGGUACUGAAGUUAACACAUUAAGUACUCCGCCUGAGUAGUACGUACGCAAGUAUGAAACUUAAAGGAAUUGACGGGACUCCGCACAAGCGGUGGAUCAUGUUGUUUAAUUCGAAGAUACACGAAAAACCUUACCAGGUCUUGACAUACUCUGCAAAGCUAUAGCAAUAUAGUGGAGGUUGUCAGGGAUACAGGUGGUGCACGGUUGUCGUCAGCUCGUGUCGUGAGAUGUUAGGUUAAGUCCUAAAACGAGCGCAACCCUUGUC